rnacentral:rRNA from 1 species
CCUACGGGUGGCAGCAGUAGGGAAUUUUCGUCAAUGGGCGCAAGCCUGAUCGAGCAAUGCCGCGUGAACGAGGAAGGUCUUCGGAUCGUAAAGUUCUGUUGUUGGGGAAAAAGGUCGGAGAGAGUAAAUGUUCACUUUUCGAUAUUAUCUUUCCAGGAAGUCACGGCUAACUACGUGCCAGCAGCCGCGGUAAUACGUAGGUGGCGAGCGUUAUCCGGAAUUAUUGGGCGUAAAGGGUGCGUAGGCGGCCUGUUAAGUCUGGGGUGAAGGGUAUCGGGUUAACCGGUACAGGCCUUGGAAACGGGGGGGCUAGAGAGAAGAAGAGGGCGGGGGAACUCCAUGGGUAGCGGUAAAAUGCGUAGAUAGAUGGAAGAACACAAGUGGCGAAGGCGGCUGCCUGGCCUGUGACUGACGCUGAGGCACGAAAGCGUGGGGAGCAAACAGGAUUAGAUACCCUAGUAGUC